rnacentral:rRNA from 1 species
UUGGUUUCUAUCCUAAAUAUAUUUUUUUUUUAUAGUACGAAAGGACCUAAAAAAUUAAUUUUAUU